rnacentral:rRNA from 1 species
ACACAUGCAAGUCGAGCGAGACCUUCGGGUCUAGCGGCGGACGGGUUAGUAACGCGUGGGAAUAUACCCCUUCCUACGGAAUAGCCUCGGGAAACUGGGAGUAAUACCGUAUACCCCCUUUUGGGGAAAGAUUUAUCGGUGAAGGAUUAGCCCGCGUCUGAUUAGAUAGUUGGUGGGGUAAUGGCCUACCCAGUCUACCAUCAGUAGCUGGUUUGAGAGAAUGAUCAGCCACACUGGGACUGAGACACGGCCCAGACUCCUACGGGAGGCAGCAGUGGGGAAUCUUAGACAAUGGGCGCAAGCCUGAUCUAGCCAUGCCGCGUGAGUGACGAAGGCCUUAGGGUCGUAAAGCUCUUUCGCCAGAGAUGAUAAUGACAGUAUCUGGUAAAGAAACCCCGGCUAACUCCGUGCCAGCAGCCGCGGUAAUACGGAGGGGGUUAGCGUUGUUCGGAAUUACUGGGCGUAAAGCGCACGUAGGCGGAUUGGAAAGUAUGGGGUGAAAUCCCAGGGCUCAACCCUGGAACUGCCUUGUAAACUCCCAGUCUAGAGUUCGAGAGAGGUGAGUGGAAUUCCAAGUGUAGAGGUGAAAUUCGUAGAUAUUUGGAGGAACACCCGUGGCGAAGGCGGCUCACUGGCUCGAUACUGACGCUGAGGUGCGAAAGUGUGGGGAGCAAACAGGAUUAGAUACCCUGGUAGUCCACACCGUAAACGAUGAAUGCCAGACGUCAGGGGGCUUGCCCUUUGGUGUCACACCCUAACGAUUAAGCAUUCCGCCUGGGGAGUACGGUCGCAAGAUUAAACUCCAAGGAAUUGACGGGGGCCCCGC